rnacentral:piRNA from 1 species
UCNCACCUCUAGCGCCUCCCCGACCACACCC